UACGAAGGGGGCUAGCGUUGCUCGGAAUCACUGGGCGUAAAGCGCACGUAGGCGGCUUUCUAAGUCAGGGGUGAAAUCCUGGAGCUCAACUCCAGAACUGCCUUUGAUACUGGAGAGCUCGAGUCCGGAAGAGGUGAGUGGAACUCCGAGUGUAGAGGCGAAAUUCGUAGAUAUUCGGAAGAACACCAGUGGCGAAGGCGGCUCACUGGUCCGGUACUGACGCUGAUGUGCGAAAGCGUGGGGAGCAAACAGG
rnacentral:rRNA from 1 species